rnacentral:other from 2 species
CGCCCCCUGCGACGUUGGCCAGCAAGCCCAGAAGUCCUUGAGCCUAUACUGCAACAGCAGCAGGAACCGACCAGUAGGCGAUGUUGUGCAUGGCCGCGUGAAAAGCGGUAAGCCUGAUUCGCCUCGCGACGUUCCCUCUUGAACCGUUGGUUCAAGACGAAGGCUUGCAGCGGCGUCGCGGGGAGCGC